AACUGUGCUAUGGUUUCUCAUGU
rnacentral:piRNA from 1 species